UGGGGAAUCUUGGACAAUGGGCGCAAGCCUGAUCCAGCCAUGCCGCGUGAUGGACGAAGUGCUUCGGCACGUAAACAUCUUUUAUGUGGGAUGAAAUUAUUGACAGUACCACAUGAAUAAGGGGCUCCUAACUCUGUGCCAGCAGGAGCGGUAAUACAGAGGCCCCAAGCGUUAUCCGGAAUCACUGGGCGUAAAGGGUGUCGAGGCGGUUGUAUUAGUCGUUCGUAAAAUCUACGAGCUUAACUUGUAGGCGGCGAACGAAACGGUACGACUUGAGGUUUGGAGAGGUGCGUGGAACUCACGGUGUAGGGGUGAAAUCCGUUGAUAUCGUGGGGAACACCAAAGGCGAAGGCAGCGCACUGGCCAAAAUCUGACGCUCACACACGAAAGCUAGGGUAGCGAAGAGGAUUAGAUACCCUUGUAGUCCCUGAGCGGGCUGGCAAGGCGCAU
rnacentral:rRNA from 1 species